UCACAGUUUAAGUCCUGGAUUGGGUGAU
rnacentral:piRNA from 1 species